CCUACGACUCACAGGGAAAGCUGAACAGCUAUCAUUCCUUUGCCUCCAAUGCACAGGCUGCUGACAAAGAGGCAGAGAAAGGAAAGGAAGAAAACAGAGGAAACCAAUGCAACAGCUUCGGACAAAAAUAAAUACAUAGAAGUUGGAAAACAGCAGCUCAGCACGCUCCGUGGGUUUUCUUCCCCCUUCUAAAUUAUUGCAGCAUUUAUUCCUCCACAGUGUAUUCAAGUUCCUUUGCAUGCUCAUGGCUUCAGAAAGGAAUCUGAGAGCAGAGUGGGAGUGCACAGCUGAGAAUAUGAUUUGGAUUACCUACGGCUUUCUCCAAAAAUGCAUAUUUGUCUCUAGAUCGGCUGAUUCUGGAGAUGUGCCAGGUAACACACAGAAGUCACCCCAUUCUUUUCUUCUUAGCAAUUACCUCUUUACGGUUGGAAGCAAUUUUUUCAAGGCUUUCUCAUUUUGCCAAAAUAUGUUUGAACGCAAUAUCACUUGUGCAGCCAAUAAUCCCUACUCCAUGCAGUGUCUCGGACCCUACGAUGACAGAUCUCUGCACAGGGCACUUCCCCACUUGUGCACAGCUUCCUAGCUUCAACUGUGGCUCUGGAAAGAUGUGGAGCUCACGGCACACAGAGUCUGCAUCGGCAAAAGCCAUCAAUAAAGGUUUGCAGGUUGCCAAUAAACAACAAGAGAUUUCUAUGUACCUUCCUUGCCUAAGCAAUGCCAGUGUAGAAAAACUGAAACAAAGAGGGCAAAGUUUGCUUUCCUGCUCCGUAUCAGGGCAAGGAAAAGCAGGCUUACACUUGCUGCUUUUCCUCUAGGUCCACCUGUUCCCAUUGACCUUGAAUGGGGCAGAUUAUGGUGCAGAAGGCAGUGCUGUAGUUCAUCUUUCUUGAAUCACCUGGUGAAGUUUAACCUCAUUAUCAACAGCUCUCACUGUCACACUCAGAAAAGGGCCCUUGAAAUCCACAGGCUAUAAGUUAAUCAGUGCUGCAACUCCCACAGAGUACUUAGUACUGAAACAAGGAUGACUGUGUUUCUUUGGAAGUUUGUCACAUUUUAUUCCACAGAUUUAAAAAUUAUGCCAUCACGCAUACCAAAUUCAUCCACUUCAGCUGUUCGGCAUGUAGGUCUUGAUUUCACUAGUUGUUCAGUAUUCUGCAUUCAUUUUGUGUUCAAAGAUGAAAACCCCAGUCAGAGUCAGGUCCUGCUGAAAGCUCUGACUCAUAUUCCUUUUUGCUCCGGGGCCUUUCUUUCUUCCUAACCUUUCUAUUCUCUCUAAGAAAGACUCAGAGAGAGAAAAAAAAAAAAUCUUUUCCCCCCACAUUUACUGAUGCCAGUGAGAGUAAUGGCUUUUGUUCAUAGUCUUUAUAUAGCAACAGCCCCAUUCUCGCCCAGGUUUGUGAAGAAACAGCAUGCUUCAUCUCAUCGCCGGUCACCAAAGUCAGUUGAAAUGAUUCUAAGGAUUCCAACGGGUAUUGAAAUAAGCUCUUAGAAAAACCAACAUGUGUAGUUUGACUAAAGUCUGUACUUUAUAUUAGGAGAUCUUUUUAAGGAAAGAUUUUAAUACUCACAUCUAUUAUGUAAGCUACAGAACAAGCCGUAGGCCCACAGCUGCCGAAGUGAAAAUAAAUGGAAACGCUCACCGAAACCUUGCCUGCACUUCACACAAGACCUGUUUCCCUCAGUCUUCUACAACCGGGAUGGGAAAGCGUUUGUCAGGCUCAACAAUGCAGUGGCCACCACCCGAAAUCUUUAAGCACAUUCAACUCACAGGUGAGCUGCCCGUCAGGAGGCCAACGAGAAGGCAGUCUUACCAGCGAGCACGCGGUGGUGUGGGCUGUGGGAGGCUCCAGUCCUUGCUCACCUCUGACACACACACCAGGCCUUCUCCAGACUUAGGUGACAGCUCACAGUUGUUCUUGUUCACUCGUUAAUUCAUUCUGAGGAC
rnacentral:lncRNA from 1 species